CUAGCCCUAAACGAUGUAGACUUGGCGUCGGUGGUUUAAUCGCCAUCGGUGUCGUAGCUAACGCGUUAAGUCUACCGCCUGGGGACUACGGCCGCAAGGUUAAAACUCAAAGGAAUUGACGGGUCCCCGCACAAGCAGCGGAGCGUGUGGUUUAAUUCGAUGCUACACGAAGAACCUUACCUGGGUUUGACAUAGAGGUAGUAGGGAAGCGAAAGCGGACCGACCCUUCGGGGAGCCUCUACAGGUGU
rnacentral:rRNA from 1 species